rnacentral:lncRNA from 1 species
AAUAGAUUCAGCAAAUUAAUAUACUAAAACUCAUCAUAAUUUGUGGAGAGAGAGAGGGAGAAGAGACCGACAGGGUAUUUUAGUUUUCUUGUUUCUUUUUGUUUUUCCUGACCUGUGGACCAGGGGUAUUUCGGUCAAUAUGAAAUUGACUUAAUGGUCAACUAGCGGUCAACUAACGGUAGUGGCAUAUUUGUACCUCAUGUAAAAUUUGAGUGGCAUAUUUGGAACAGGGAAAUUCUCAGUAGCAUUUGGCCAUAUGGACAAAUUCUCAGUGACAAAUAUGGAAUUCUCUCAUUUUGUUUUGUUGUUCUCUUGUAACACUCUUUCUUAAUCAAUAUGACGAGGCAAAGCGUUUCAAAAAAAGUAUCACACGAUCCAUACACAAAUGGACAGUAAAAUAAAAAUUGUGGAUGAACACAUCAAAAGAUAAGCAGGUACUGUAGAUGAAGUUUCUGCCGGAAGACCUGAGAAGAUUGCUGCAAAAUAGGAAUACAUAGUACCUAAUAUAUAGGAAUAAUAAUAUAUCUGCCAAGUGCCAGUGCCAGCCAUGUGUAUCUCAAACAACUGAAUACUGCAAGCUGCAGGCACUGCCGGGUUGCAAAAUUUGAACCAAAUUUUCCCCUCCAGGAAAAGAAACUGAAUCAAACAACUAGGACUAUAUCAUCAAACUGAUAGUACCUUAUUUCUCCUUCCUGAUUUCAGGCAGCUUGCCAAUGCCAAUAGACAAUCCCAUCAGAAGAUGGUAACAUUAAAACUCAAGCAUAUUACCUCUGCAAACCUGGUUCUUUAAACCUACACUUACACGGAUGGAUUCUCGCUUUGCUAGGGCGCGAAUUCGACGAUUAUCUCAAGCCAGAGCUUGAGCCCGGCGGGUAUAGUACACCGGCGUGCCCCAGAGGCAGGAACCCCAAGGCUAGGCUUCGCGGACAGGGCGAAAUCGGCGGCGCGGGCGGAGGGGAACGCAGCGGCGGUGGCGAGGACUCCUCAUUGCUGGCGGCGGCUGGCUGGCGGAGCGCGCGCGAGAGAGGAAUGGAGCUUAGAGAGAUGGGCCGGCCUGGUUUCCGGUUCGGUCAGUCUUUGGACUUCGGCCCAAGUUAGUUUAUUUAUCAAGGAGCCCGAUAAGUAAACUUCCCGAGUUGCUUUAGACGAAGAAAGAAAAUAUUCUCAAAAAAAAAAUCCCCUCAAAAGAUAUGAAGAAAGAAAAUUUCGUAAGGGCGUCUUUAGUUCGUAGCUUAACGUUGCUACAUGACUACGUCUAACCUUAGCCAUGCCCCACUAUUUUAGGCAUGUGUUUGGUUUGUUGUUAUAGUUGUGGUUUGUCAUAUUUUUCUUAGACAUAUGGUCCAGAUGACAUAGGGUCAUAUUUUUUAUCAAAUUUUGCCUCACUUGUGGUAUCUACUUUAUCCACGGCACCUUUUGUGAUUAUUUGUGACAAAGUUAAUCAUCAAUCAAACAUGUAUCCUAAUUCAGGAACCCAAGCCUAGGGUUAAAGCAAAGAAGCGGCACGUCAGGCAAAAUCAGCCACAGGACAAAGGGAACACAUUAGGUUGUGCAAGCGGUGUUCUUGGGUUGGUGGAAGAAGAGAAGAGAGAGUCUCUUAAGUGAAGUAAUGGGCUAAACGUUCGUGCUGGUGAAGCAGAGAGACGCAUGUAAAAUUGAUUUGGUACAUAUCCGUAAAGCUUGUCGUUAAGGAAUACAACGGGGAAUAAUAACCCUCAUAUAGGAAGUACCACUAUAUGUCAAUGACCAAGUCAAUCUAAAGGUCAAGCUGGUCAACGGGCCAACAAAACUAAGAUCAAAACAACAAGGCGGGUCAACAUGCCUAUAUGCGGAA